GUGGGGUUUUUGUGGUUCUGUAAGCUGUUGUUAUGUUUCCUACCAUAGCCACAGCUCCUUUGCAUUACCGAAAAAAACAAAAAGAAAAACAUCCCUAAAUAUGCUGAGGAUGAUGGAUAGGCUAUCAAUCAUCUAUUUAGAGGACUCAUAUUUUGUCCAUGUAAAAAGACCACUACCAAUUUACGAUCCAAGCAACUCUGGAAGCAACAAAUUGGUGACAUAUGGCAUAUUUCACAAAAUAACUGCUCCUUGA
rnacentral:lncRNA from 1 species